GUAAAGCGCGCGUAGGUGGUUUGUUAAGUUGGAUGUGAAAUCCCCGGGCUCAACCUGGGAACUGCAUCCAAAACUGGCAAGCUAGAGUAUGGUAGAGGGUGGUGGAAUUUCCUGUGUAGCGGUGAAAUGCGUAGAUAUAGGAAGGAACACCAGUGGCGAAGGCGACCACCUGGACUGAUACUGACACUGAGGUGCGAAAGCGUGGGGAGCAAACAGGAUUAGAUACCCUG
rnacentral:rRNA from 1 species